GCGUCAGUGGCUCAAUUGGAUAGAGCGUCUGGCUACGGACCAGGAGAAUGAGAGUUCGAGUCUUUCCUGACGCACCA
rnacentral:tRNA from 1 species